UCCGGUGUAGCGCAGUGGUAGCGCAGGUGACUGUUAAUCACUUGGUCGUAGGUUCGAAUCCUACCACCGGAGCCA
rnacentral:tRNA from 4 species